rnacentral:rRNA from 1 species
AGUUUGAUUAUGGCUCAGAUUGAACGCUGGCAGGAUGCGCUACACAUGCAAGUCGAACGGCAGCACGGACGGUCUGGUGGCGGUGGCGAACGGGUAGGUAAUGUAUCGGAACGAUGCCUAAGUGGCGGGGGAUAAACUGCGCCAAGCGUAGCUAAUACCGCAUACGCCCUUCGGGGAAAGCGGGGGACCUUCGGGCCUCGCACUAUUAGAGCAGCCACGAUAUCCGGAUUCUGGCUAGUUGGUGGGGUAACGGCUCGCAAGGCGACGAUCCGUAGCUGGUUUUGAGGACAUUAAUACACUGGGACUGAGACACGGCCCAGACUCCACGAGGGCAGCAGUGGGGAAUUUUGGACAAAUAAGGAAACCUGAUCCAGCCAUCCCGCGUGUGCGAUGAAGGCCUUCGGGUUGUAGCGCUUUUGGCAGAAAAACUGGCACGGGAUAAUACCCGUGCAACUAUUGGCUCACCUGCAGAAUAUGCACCGGCUAACUACGUGCCAGCAUUGCUGCGGUAAUACGUAAGUGCAAGCGUUAAUCGGAAUACGGGCGUAAAGCGUGCGCAGGCGGUUCGGAAGAAGAUAUGUGAAAUCCCGACUUUCAACUUUGGAGCUGCAUUUUUAACUACCGAGCUAGAGUGUGUCAGAGGGAGGUGGAAUUCCACGCGUGUAGCAGUGAAAUGCGUAGAUAUGCGGAGAACACACCGAUAAUGAAGGCAACCUCCUGGGAUAACACUGACGCUCAUGCACGAAAGCGUGGGAGCAAACGGGAUUAGAUACCCUGGUAGUCCACGCCCUAGCGAUGUCAACUGGCUGUUGGGGCCUUCGGGCCUUGUUGCCGCAGCUAACGCGUGGGUUGGCUUACCUGGGAAGUACGGUCGCAAGAUUAAAGCAAAGGAAUUGACGGGGACCCGCACAAGCGGUGGAUGAUGUGGACAAUUCGAUGCAUGCGCAAAAACGCACCCUUGACAUGUGGAAUCACAGCGAAGAGAUUUGAUGCUCGCAAAGAGAACCGGAACACGAUUGCGCACCAUGGCUGUCGUCAGCUCGUGUCGUGAGAUGUUGGGUUACAGUCCCACGCUGCCAGGCGCAGCCAGCAACCAUUCGUUGCUACGAGGGCACUCUAGCCAGACUGCCGGUGACAAACCGGAGGAAGGUGGGGAUGACGUCAGUCCUCAUGGCCCUUAUGGGUAGGGCUUCACACGUCAUACAAUGGUCGGGACAGAGGGUCGCCCAACCCGAGGGCAAUCCCGGCCGAUCGUAGUCCGGAUCGCAGUCUGCAACUCGACUGCGUGAGAGUCGGAAUCGCUAGUAAUCGCGGAUCAGCAUGUCGCGGUGAAUACGUUCCCGGGUCUUGUACACACCGCCCGUCACACCAUGGGAGUGGGUUUUACCGAAGUAGUUAGCCUAACCGUAAGGAGGGCGAUUGCCACGGUAGGAUUCAUGACUGGGGUGAAGUCGUAACGGGUAA